UAUACAUUGGGACAACCCGGAUUAAUUAUGAUAAUUUAAGGCCAAGAUUUUUCCGGGAUUUGAAGUCGGGACUUUUGACCAUUUGAUUUUAAUUUGAGAUAUAAGUCAUGUAUGAAAUUGAUGGCAUUGAACACUUAGGGAAAAUUGGGACUACAAUUCAUAAAAUUAGAAUUAAAAUGUUGUGCAAAAAAAAAAAAAAAAAAAAAUUCCUUGGUGGCCAUGUAAAUGGGAAUUGGUCCCACACAUUGUGUGGCCAAUUUUAAUUGGUCCACUCCAUGUGUGGGCCAAGGACACUUGGACAACAACUAUAUGAGCCUAAAGUAUGACCAAGUAGUCAUCUUUUCCCCAUUGCAAGACUUAGAAAAAAAACAUCAAGGAGUUGAAGACCACCUUCAACACCCCUCUCGGCUACAAACCAAGAAAAACCAAAUCCAAAUCAAGCCACCCCAAAAUUAUUUCCUUGGUAUAAAUCAACUAUUUAGAAGUCCCUAAGUAACGUGGAAGAGUUGUUUGGGUCAUCCAACCACUAGUUGUGCCCAAUUGCAAACCCUAACUAUUGAAGGAAGUGAAGAAGGAAGACCUUGGGCAGCCCGAAUCAUAGUUUGGACUUAGCUUGAGUUGGAUCAUAUUGGAGAGCGUUUGAGGUACAGACGCACAGCCUGGUGAUCCACCUGUUUAGGACACCCUUUCUGCUAUUCGGAGUGCUUCUCUCUUUCCGGAGCUUAUACUUUUGGUAUAUAUAUAUA